UUCACUCUUCUAGGCCGGCUCUGCUUACGCGGUCCGGCAAAAAUAAAAUAAAUAUAGGAAUCACAUUAAAGCAAUGUAGAAAUAUAAAUGUGAUGUACAUAACAAUGAUAUGGACAUGAAACAUGUUUAUUUCUGCACUACAGGUAAGCUAUACAUUCAUACGGCUACUGUAUCUCUGUCUAGUGCCACUAUCCCAGGACACGUAGAAUGGGAUUUCAAAACCAAACAUUGUGUAAAUGCUGCUUCAUAGUCUAUGCAAAAGGAGUCAACAUAGCGUAGCAAGGCUACAGGAACAAGGUUAUUAAAUGGACAACCACACUGUCUAUAUACCUACUUAAAUUUGUAAACACAAAAGCAGUACAAUGGGUUGCUUUGUGCAAAUGUGAUUUCCGCUACAACAUUUUACCCGGCAAUUACGCAUUUGUCUUGUUUUGUAUCAUCUGCCUGACGACUCGGUAAUACUAGCACUCCUAGCAAUAAUUAAACUUCACCAUAUACAGUAUAUUCAGGAACUGUACAGUUUGCUAAUCUUUUUUUGCGUGAAGAGGACCAGGUGUGGGGCUGCAGCCACCAGAGAUCGUGUCUUGAUGAUUCUCCAACAGCUGGGUUUAAUUCUGCUUAAAACAUCGCCAGACAAAAUGCCAACAUGACACCCGGCUACACACUUUGGACAAUAAAGUGCCUGGACCAACAGAACUUCUAGCUUGACAGACCCAGGAUUGGGUUGUCUAUUAGUGUCUGGUAUUCUCCCUUUUGUGUCACAAAUUAAGUGUCACAGAACAUGCCCACAGCUUGCACGCAAGCAAGAGUGGAAAUCCAGACCCUGAUGUGAGGUGUAUCAUUACCUCUACACACCAGCAGCGUCUCACCCCGCAUCUGCUGGCUUGACUCUAAAGUCAAAGUCUCAGCCCUGGUUUGUCCCUGGAUGGGAGCUCCAUAAAAUGCUGAGAAAGUGAUAAUUGGUCCACUUAGAUUUUCGCUUUAUAUAAACAAUAUCUGUGAUGAUUUUAGAAAUUGUAACUUCCAUUUUUAUGCUGAUGAUACUGUGUUGUUUUCUAUUGCUCCCUCAGCUGAUGAAGCAUUUGAGAAGUAGGAGUCUGAUUUUAAGAUUUUGCAGAGAUAUCUUUUACAACUUAAACUUGUUUUAAAUGCUAGGAAAACUAAUGUAAUGUAUUUUUCUAGUUCCAAAUCAUCUGAUGGACACACGUGUAUUUACUAGCAUGGAUGUUAGUAAAAUCGAACAAGUCUCUGAAUAUAAAUACCUAAGACUGUGUUUCAUGGUAUAUUGAAUGCUUUGGAAAUUAUUUUGUACCCUUCUGCUGACUGAUAUCUUUCAACAAUGAGAUCCCUCUGAUGCUUUGGAAGCUCU